rnacentral:rRNA from 1 species
CCUUACGGCUCAGUAACACGUGGAUAACCUGCCCUUGGGUCCGGCAUAACCCCGGGAAACUGGGGAUAAUUCCGGAUAACGCACAUAUGCUGGAAUGCUUUAUGCGUAAAAUGGAUUCGUCUGCCCAAGGAUGGGUCUGCGGCCUAUCAGGUAGUAGUGGGUGUAAUGUACCUACUAGCCAACAACGGGUACGGGUUGUGAGAGCAAGAGCCCGGAGAUGGAUUCUGAGACAUGAAUCCAGGCCCUACGGGGCGCAGCAGGCGCGAAAACUUUACAAUGCGGGAAACCGUGAUAAGGGGACACCGAGUGCCAGCGUCAUACGCUGGCUGUCCAGGUGUGUAAAAUACACCUGUUAGCAAGGGCCGGGCAAGACCGGUGCCAGCCGCCGCGGUAACACCGGCGGCCCGAGUGGUGAUCGUGAUUAUUGGGUCUAAAGGGUCCGUAGCCGGUUUGGUCAGUCCUCCGGGAAAUCUGAUAGCUCAACUAUUAGGCUUUCGGGGGAUACUGCCAGACUUGGAACCGGGAGAGGUAAGAGGUACUACAGGGGUAGGAGUGAAAUCUUGUAAUCCCUGUGGGACCACCUGUGGCGAAGGCGUCUUACCAGAACGGGUUCGACGGUGAGGGACGAAAGCUGGGGGCACGAACCGGAUUAGAUACCCGGGUAGUCCCAGCCGUAAACGAUGCUCGCUAGGUGUCAGGCAUGGCGCGACCGUGUCUGGUGCCGCAGGGAAGCCGUGAAGCGAGCCACCUGGGAAGUACGGCCGCAAGGCUGAAACUUAAAGGAAUUGGCGGGGGAGCAC